GGCGAACGGGUGAGUAAUGCAUCGGAACGUGCCCAGUCGUGGGGGAUAACGCAGCGAAAGUUGUGCUAAUACCGCAUACGAUCUAUGGAUGAAAGCGGGGGACCUUCGGGCCUCGCGCGAUUGGAGCGGCCGAUGUUAGAUUAGGUAGUUGGUGGGGUAAAGGCUCACCAAGCCAACGAUCUAUAGCUGGUCUGAGAGGACGACCAGCCACACUGGAACUGAGACACGGUCCAGACUCCUACGGGAGGCAGCAGUGGGGAAUUUUGGACAAUGGGCGAAAGCCUGAUCCAGCAAUACCGCGUGCAGGAAGAAGGCCCUCGGGUUGUAAACUGCUUUUGUACGGAACGAAACGGCGCGCUCUAAUAAAGUGCGCUAAUGGCGGUACCGUAAGAAUAAGCACCGGCUAACUACGUGCCAGCAGCCGCGGUAAUACGUAGGGUGCAAGCGUUAAUCGGAAUUACUGGCGUAAAGCGUGC
rnacentral:rRNA from 1 species